rnacentral:rRNA from 1 species
GAAUUGUUCGCAAUGGGCGCAAGCCUGACGACGCAACGCCGCGUGGAGGAUGAAGGUCUUCGGAUUGUAAACUCCUGUUGCUCGGGAAGAAUGGCUCCGACCUAACACGUCGGAGUAUGACGGUACCGGGGGAGGAAGCCCCGGCUGACUCGUCUCCAGCCGCCGCGGUAAUACAGAGGGGGCAAGCGUUGUUCGGAAUUACUGGGCGUAAAGGGCGCGUAGGCGGCCUGUUAAGUCGAACGUGAAAUCCCCGAGCUCAACUCGGGAACUGCGUCCGAUACUGGCAGGCUCGAAUCCGGGAGAGGGAUGUGGAAUUCCAGGUGUAGCGGUGAAAUGCGUAGAUAUCUGGAGGAACACCGGUGGCGAAGGCGGCAUCCUGGACCGGCAUUGACGCUGAGGCGCGAAAGCCAGGGGAGCAAACGGG